rnacentral:sRNA from 1 species
GCAUGGUGGUAUGCGCUCCUAUAGUCCCACUGCCCGGGAGGCUGAGGUUGGAGGGUCACUUGAGCUCAGGAGUUUGAGAGCAGCCUGAGCAACAUAGUGGGACCCUGUCUCAA